rnacentral:rRNA from 1 species
GACGAACGCUGGCGGCGCGCUUAACACAUGCAAGUCGAGCGAUGAAAUCUUGACAGAUCCCUUCGGGGUGAAGAUAAGAUGGAUUAGCGGCGGACGGGUGAGUAACACGUGAGUAACCUGCCUUAGACAUUGGGAUAGCCUCGGGAAACCGGGAUUAAUACCAAAUGAAAUCAUAGGUGCCCAUGCACUAAUGAUCAAAACUCCGGUGGUCUAAGAUGGACUCGCGUCCCAUUAGCUAGUUGGUGAGGUAAUGGCCCACCAAGGCGACGAUGGGUAGCCGGCCUGAGAGGGUGAACGGCCACAUUGGAACUGAGAAACGGUCCAAACUCCUACGGGAGGCAGCAGUGGGGAAUAUUGCACAAUGGAGGGAACUCUGAUGCAGCGACGCCGCGUGAACGAUGAAGGCUUUCGAGUCGUAAAGUUCUUUUAUAUGGGAAGAUAAUGACGGUACCAUAAGAAAAAGCCCCGGCUAACUACGUG